AACUUUCUGAAUUGCGAGCUCCGGUCUGGAGUUUUGGUUGAUAGAUGUAUAUUGGGAUCAGAUUGUUCAACGACCAACUAUCCUGGAAAAAUCCCUAGUGGACCUGAUCUUCCCAGCGAUGUUGCCAAUGAGAAGCUUUCGAAUGAC